ACCGUUUUUGUAAACAGAAAGUGGCCUUUGGUGGAGUCGGGUUAAAUAUUCGAAGGGAUGUGUAAUGUCAGAUUAUAAUUCGCCAUAAGGGACGAUAAUGGAGGAACCGGAUGGGGAACUACCUGUAAUUGAAGUCCAGGAACAGCACAGGAAAGAUGGGACCUACCAUUACUCCUUCACGUACGAACGUGCCACUUUAUACGAGUUCAAAUUCGACCGUGCCCCCAAACCCGCCCAAAAGGACCCGUGUUAUAGGUGUAACCGGAGGGUCUUACCCCCGGAUCAGGUCCGGGUGGACGUUUUGUACCACAGACAGUGCUUCCGGUGUCGAAUAUGUGGUCUUUUGUUGACCAUGCAGACGUUUUACAGGAAUGAUGCCAAUGACACCACGGAUAAAGAGGUGUACUGCAAAUCCCACGUGGGUAAAAACAUUGGGCAAGUGAAAUAUGAGCGACAGCCACUAGAUUUUGAUAUUGAGAACAUUUCACAGCAAAGUCAAAUGAUUUCGUGAAACGGCUUGGAUUCGGACAGUUUCUCACGGUGUGUGAACUUGUAGGUAUCAGCCUUACAACAUUGUUAGCUGUAACUGGAGCGUAAAGGUUUUCUUUUAACUAUUGGGAAAUGUAAAAAAAAAAGUGCUACUGAAUAAUCAGGAAAACUAACAAAAAUAUAUUAACCUAGUCUAAAAGAUAGUAUCAUUUCUAUACGGAAUUACCCAUGUAUUCAGCGUAAUUUAGCAACAGAGAAAACAGUUUAAAAUGCAAAAAAUUGUAUAUAUCAUCUUGGUCACGUGGUAAUAACACUGUCUUCCGCUUUUUUUCACUGCAACGGAUAAUUCGCUAUUUCUUAACUAACUUCGUCUUCUGUUGUCAUGAAACAGGUAAGAUUGGAUGUGUUUGUCAAACAUGAAAUACCUGAAUCACCUGGUGACCAGCAUUUACUCAAAUAAAAUCAAGGUUAUCAGAUGUUAAGUAACUGUAAUCUGAGAGACUGGAGUUGUUGACAUGCUUUUGAAUUUGAAUACAGGUUAAUUUAACAGUCCAAAAGACGGUGACCCACGAAGAGUCAUCAAAUGAAUAGUAAUAGGCAUUUGCAUGUACUGAUUAUGUUUACUCCAGGUUAACAGCAUCAAGUAUGGCGGAUCUUCCCGGAAGACGAGCCCAAAACCAGUCCCGAGUCCUCGGAACCACAGUCCCCGAGGGGGCAGUCCUCUGGGAACCCCCUUAGGACAGAGUCCCUCUGGGUCAAGCAUGGUCAGCGUCACCCCUAGGACGAUGAAUGGCAGCACGUUUUAUUCGCAUGCUCCAAAUAUGACAGAUUUUAACACCUCUUAUGGAUCCUCCACUGGGUAUUAUCGACCAAGACCAGUUCUUCAGUCUUUCCAAGACUUUGAAACUAGUGGUGUGUUCGAAGCUCAGUCUGUUCUGGAAUCGAGGCACAGAGAGGAAGAAGAAAGAUUGCAGAGAUUUCUGCUGGAGGAAAGAGAAAAAGAGAUGCGGAAACUUGACGACACAAUUUCCUCCGAGAAAGAUCGGGCUGCGGCAGACCUGCUCAGUAGCUUCGAACACAUGUCAAUGUCGGGGUCUACCCCAAAUCUCAUGGCGGAAAGGGAAAGAAUUGAGGAUCACUUCCGGCGCACGCGCGAGGAGAAGCUGAAAGUUAUGAUGGAUAAGAUUGCGACAGAAGAAAAAACAAGAACAGCGAAAAUGUUGGAUAGACACGGACAAGAAAUGCUGUUGUUAAUUGCUAAGAAGGAUAGGGAGGUAGACAGAAGCGCAUUGUUCGACCAUUCCAUGAAGCCACCCGUAAUGCCUCCAGAAACAAAGAAAGCGGAUCUCUACAAGUCACCCGAGGUCUUCAAAAAGCUUGACGAGAGGGCAAUAGAGCUGACCAACAAGGACUACAGUAGCUAUACAGAUUUGGUCAAAGACCUUACAAGAGAUUGUCAAACAGAACUGGAGAAAGUCAGGGUGAUUUUCCGAUGGGUAAUUGCCAAAGAUCUGGGAAAACACAAUGUGAAGGAGAUUGUCCGCCCCAACUCCACGGCCUCUCUUCUCCGGGGGGUCAGGACCGGAAAAGAAACUUACCACCAGCUGUUUAAGAAACUCUGCAACUUUGCAGGUCUCCAUUGUGAGAUAAUCUUGGGUUACUCUAAAGGAGCCGGAUAUAAGCCGGGUAUGAGAAUGGAUGGAACCUCGUUCCGGAACUCCUGGACCGCAGUCUCCAUUGACGGGAACUGGCGCCUUGUCAACUGCACCUGGGCGGCACGGCGUGUAACAGGGCACAAGGACGACCUGCCCGAGAUCUUCUACAAGUAUGACGAGUUCUAUUUUCUGACGGACCCCGAGGAUCACAUUUAUCAGCACUACCCAGAUGACUCACAAUGGCAACUAAUUGACAUACCAUUGCCUUUCUCAGAGUUUCUCAAUUUGCCUGUCGUCAAGUCACCAUUUUUCAAUUAUGGACUUCGUUUUUACUCUAAUUACGGCGCGACAUUAACGACAGAUUCCGGCAUGGUUGAAAUUCGUUUGAUUUCAUACAAGAUUUUAGGCUUUGGUCAUGUACUGGAGUCCUACGAUAAAUCAGUGGAUACAAGGUCACUUGAAGGUCGCGUACUUCUUCGCCAUGUCAAAAACGAAGCCAUAUUUACCAUUAACUUGCCUAAAAAAGGACUCUAUUACUUUUCCAUUUACACGGGCGAUUACUGGCAUUCGGAUUGCCUUGAGAGUGCUGCGUCAUUCCUAAUCAACUGCACUGACGUAAUUGGAGCUCCUUCACCCCCAUACCCCCCAGUACCAUUUUACGGACCAACCCCAAUGAUGGACACUUUGCAGAUAGAAACAAGCAAUCAGCUGGACCCGUUGAUCGUGUCCAAUGGAGAGUCACUGGACAUCACUUUUAAACUUUCGAAAGAUGUUAAGAUUACGCACACGUUUCAGUACUUUGAUGCUAGUGAUAGCUCGGUUUCAGAUAUAGACCGGUAUGUAUUCCUGCGCUCGAGAACAGACACCGGAGCAACUUAUAUGGUCAGGUGUCCAAAAGAAGGCUAUUAUAUCUUUUCUCUGUAUGCUGCCGACGAAAACAACGAGACUUUAGAUUGUGUGUAUAGGUACUUAGUUAUAUGCCAACAGGCAAACCAAGCAACAAACGUUUUCCCCAAAACAUUCCACAAAUGGCAGAGGUGCACACUGCACGAGCCCGUGUACGGGGACCUCAUGACCAACAAACGGUAUUCCUUCCGCUUAGAUGUCCCACAGGCAGUGGAGGUGUUCCUAGUCAUCGGCGACAUUUGGCAUCAUCUCAAGCGGAAGUUGGGUUUCACAUGGGAAGGUAAUAUCAACACUGGAAAAAACCCGGGAACUGCUAAAAUCUACGCCAGGUUCUCUGUAGACCGAGAUGCUUCGACUUUCUCGCGUCUGCUGGACUAUGAAUUGAUUGAGGAUGCGGAAACAGAGAUAUAGCUACAUGUAUGCAUUUAAUGAUUAUUUAUUCAAUUGUAUGUUGUGAUUAUAUUUGUUGAUUUUGUUUAUGUCAUUUGCUAGAGAAGUGCUCCAUUCUUAAUUUAGUCAUACCUAAAUGUCUCAUUAUUAUAUGCUUUUGUGAAAUUUUUGUGAAAUGAAGUUACUGAAUAAUAAAAAUGCUUUUAUAUUGCGGUGUAAAGAUGAAUUAUUUAGCCUAAAAGCAGAACCUCUCGAAAUU
rnacentral:misc_RNA from 1 species